rnacentral:rRNA from 1 species
UUGAACGCUGGCGGCAGGCCUAACACAUGCAAGUCGAACGGUAACAGGAAACAGCUUGCUGUUUCGCUGACGAGUGGCGGACGGGUGAGUAAUGUCUGGGAAACUGCCUGAUGGAGGGGGAUAACUACUGGAAACGGUAGCUAAUACCGCAUAACGUCGCAAGACCAAAGAGGGGGACCUUCGGGCCUCUUGCCAUCGGAUGUGCCCAGAUGGGAUUAGCUUGUUGGUGGGGUAACGGCUCACCAAGGCGACGAUCCCUAGCUGGUCUGAGAGGAUGACCAGCCACACUGGAACUGAGACACGGUCCAGACUCCUACGGGAGGCAGCAGUGGGGAAUAUUGCACAAUGGGCGCAAGCCUGAUGCAGCCAUGCCGCGUGUAUGAAGAAGGCCUUCGGGUUGUAAAGUACUUUCAGCGGGGAGGAAGGGAGUAAAGUUAAUACCUUUGCUCAUUGACGUUACCCGCAGAAGAAGCACCGGCUAACUCCGUGCCAGCAGCCGCGGUAAUACGGAGGGUGCAAGCGUUAAUCGGAAUUACUGGGCGUAAAGCGCACGCAGGCGGUUUGUUAAGUCAGAUGUGAAAUCCCCGGGCUCAACCUGGGAACUGCAUCUGAUACUGGCAAGCUUGAGUCUCGUAGAGGGGGGUAGAAUUCCAGGUGUAGCGGUGAAAUGCGUAGAGAUCGGGAGGAAUACCGGUGGCGAAGGCGGCCCCCUGGACGAAGACUGACGCUCAGGUGCGAAAGCGUGGGGAGCAAACAGGAUUAGAUACCCUGGUAGUCCACGCCGUAAACGAUGUCGACUUGGAGGUUGUGCCCUUGAGGCGUGGCUUCCGGAGCUAACGCGUUAAGUCGACCGCCUGGGGAGUACGGCCGCAAGGUUAAAACUCAAAUGAAUUGACGGGGGCCCGCACAAGCGGUGGAGCAUGUGGUUUAAUUCGAUGCAACGCGAAGAACCUUACCUGGUCUUGACAUCCACGGAAGUUUUCAGAGAUGAGAAUGUGCCUUCGGGAACCGUGAGACAGGUGCUGCAUGGCUGUCGUCAGCUCGUGUUGUGAAAUGUUGGGUUAAGUCCCGCAACGAGCGCAACCCUUAUCCUUUGUUGCCAGCGGUCCGGCCGGGAACUCAAAGGAGACUGCCAGUGAUAAACUGGAGGAAGGUGGGGAUGACGUCAAGUCAUCAUGGCCCUUACGACCAGGGCUACACACGUGCUACAAUGGCGCAUACAAAGAGAAGCGACCUCGCGAGAGCAAGCGGACCUCAUAAAGUGCGUCGUAGUCCGGAUUGGAGUCUGCAACUCGACUCCAUGAAGUCGGAAUCGCUAGUAAUCGUGGAUCAGAAUGCCACGGUGAAUACGUUCCCGGGCCUUGUACACACCGCCCGUCACACCAUGGGAGUGGGUUGCAAAAGAAGUAGGUAGCUUAACCUUCGGGAGGGCGCUUACCACUUUGUGAUUCAUGACUGGGGUG